CAGUCGAACGAUGAACCGGUUUCGGCCGGGGAUUAGUGGCGAACGGGUGAGUAACACGUGGGCAAUCUGCCCUGCACUCUGGGACAAGCCCUGGAAACGGGGUCUAAUACCGGAUACUGACCGACACGGGCAUCCGUGACGGUCGAAAGCUCCGGCGGUGCAGGAUGAGCCCGCGGCCUAUCAGCUUGUUGGUGAGGUAGUGGCUCACCAAGGCGACGACGGGUAGCCGGCCUGAGAGGGCGACCGGCCACACUGGGACUGAGACACGGCCCAGACUCCUACGGGAGGCAGCAGUGGGGAAUAUUGCACAAUGGGCGAAGGCCUGAUGCAGCGACGCCGCGUGAGGGAUGACGGCCUUCGGGUUGUAAACCUCUUUCAGCAGGGAAGAAGCGAAAGUGACGGUACCUGCAGAAGAAGCGCCGGCUAACUACGUGCCAGCAGCCGCGGUAAUACGUAGGGCGCAAGCGUUGUCCGGAAUUAUUGGGCGUAAAGAGCUCGUAGGCGGCUUGUCACGUCGGUUGUGAAAGCCCGGGGCUUAACCCCGGGUCUGCAGUCGAUACGGGCAGGCUAGAGUUCGGUAGGGGAGAUCGGAAUUCCUGGUGUAGCGGUGAAAUGCGCAAAUAUCAGGAGGAACACCGGUGGCGAAGGCGGAUCUCUGGGCCGAUACUGACGCUGAGGAGCGAAAGCGUGGGGAGCGAACAGGAUUAGAUACCCUGGUAGUCCACGCCGUAAACGGUGGGCACUAGGUGUGGGCAACAUUCCACGUUGUCCGUGCCGCAGCUAACGCAUUAAGUGCCCCGCCUGGGGAGUACGG
rnacentral:rRNA from 1 species